AGUGAACGCUGGCGGUAGGCCUAACACAUGCAAGUCGAACGGCAGCACAGUAAGAGCUUGCUCUUACGGGUGGCGAGUGGCGGACGGGUGAGGAAUACAUCGGAAUCUACUUUUUCGUAGGGGAUAACGUAGGGAAACUUACGCUAAUACCGCAUACGACCUACGGGUGAAAGCAGGGGAUCUUCGGACCUUGCGCGAUUGAAUGAGCCGAUGUCGGAUUAGCUAGUUGGCGGGGUAAAGGCCCACCAAGGCGACGAUCCGUAGCUGGUCUGAGAGGAUGAUCAGCGACACUGGAACUGAGACACGGUCCAGACUCCUACGGGAGGCAGCAGUGGGGAAUAUUGGACAAUGGGCGCAAGCCUGAUCCAGCCAUACCGCGUGGGUGAAGAAGGCCUUCGGGUUGUAAAGCCCUUUUGUUGGGAAAGAAAAGCAGCAGGUUAAUACCCCGCUGUUCUGACGGUACCCAAAGAAUAAGCACCGGCUAACUUCGUG
rnacentral:rRNA from 1 species